ensembl:lncRNA
AGGGCCGCCCCUGGUCACUGACGUCACAGCAUGUUCCCCGCGUGCCAGCUGCCGACUGCAAGGCCAGCUAAAUGUUUCAGCUUCAGUCAAUCACGUCCGCAGAUUCUAAAACAAUUGGAGCCAAUCACGUUCGCACAGUCGAAAACAUUUCACCAAUCACGGCAGAAAUCCUGGAGAGCGACGUCAGGCACACGGCAGAAAUUCUGGAGGGCGACGUUACAUUGCUUACGCUAGACCUGAGGGGGCGGGUAAUUCAAAGAGUGAAGCUAGCCGGAUGCUUAAGGAAUCAACCGAGGCAGAUUAUCGACAUGGUGUCAAACCCCCGUAUCGGGGUGGAGUCGUUGCUGGUGACGGUCAUCAGAAAAGCACCAGCCCAGCAGAAGGGAGAGCCAGAGUCUGGCCGGGGAAGUGCUUCAGACUCUAGACAGAGAAGGCCUACAAGACAUAAAUGCAGGUAUAACACGCACGCACAGACACACGCACAUACCCAGGCCAGGACGCACAGACACACACAAGCGGGCACGCACAGACACACGCACAUACCCAGGCCAGGACGCACAGACACACACAAGCGGGCACGCACAGACACACGCACGCACAGACACACGCACAUACCCAGGCCAGGACGCACAGACACACACAAGUGGGCACGCACAGACACACGCACGCACAGACACACGCACGCACAGACACACGCACAGACACACGCACGCACAGACACACGCACGCACAGACACACGCACGCACAGACACACGCACGCACAGACACACGCACGCACAGACACACGCACGCACAGACACACGCACGCACAGACACACGCACGCACAGACACACGCACGCACAGACACACGCACAUACCCAGGCCAGGACGCACAGACACACACAAGCGGGCACGCACAGACACACGCACGCACAGACACACGCACAUACCCAGGCCAGGACGCACAGACACACACAAUCGGGCACGCACAGACACACAGGCAGGCACGCCGCACAGACAGACAGGCACGCACGCCGCGCAGACACAGGCAGGCAGGCAGGCAGGCAGGCAGGCAGGCAGGCAGGCACGCCACACAGACGUAGGCAGGCACAAGCAGGAACGGACACACAGACGCACGCACGCACGCUCGCACACCUCAACUCUCUACACAGAGAAGGCCUAAAAGACAGAGAUGCCGGUAGAACACAUGCACACACACUCACACACUCACACACUGCUCAACACUCUCCAGCUACCAGGCAAAAGGGAGGUUCUUUCUUCCACCACACUGGUCAUUUAUUUUUUGUCACUGGAUCUCCCAACUUAAUGGCGUUUGGGCUGCUCUAAGUGUUUGUUUGUUUGUAUUGUGUCCCUCUGUAGUUGGAAAUUCCUCGUGGGGGAGAGCUGCGCGUCAUCGGAGUGCUACUUGGGAGCGUUCCUGGUGGAUGGACCAGCGCAGAACCGUCUCCACGCUUGAAAGUGACAAAGCGGGUCCCUGCCACACUGGCCGGUAGCGACUUGCUGUCUGGAUUGUAUACUGGAUUGGGAUGACUCCUCUUUGGUGUGGGUUGAUCUAUUGCAGUGUUUUUUUUUCUGUGGAUUCUAUAUGUGGGGCGUGGUUUAAGUAUUGCAAACUGAUAAUACCUUUUGGGGGGAAGGCAUGUAUCUUGCUUUUGUGUGGGGGUUUUCAUGUUAGACAUGGUUGGCCAUUAGUUGGCUUUAUGCCUAUCGCCUAGUGGGGUUCUAUGUACAGUGAAUCUGUGCCUACAGUCCUGUAUCCAGUCUGCUUGUGGCAAAUAAACAUUUGUAUAACCAUUUCUGAUUCUGAGUG